rnacentral:rRNA from 1 species
UACGUAGGGCGCAAGCGUUGUCCGGAAUUAUUGGGCGUAAAGAGCUCGUAGGCGGCCUGUCACGUCGGAUGUGAAAGCCCGGGGCUUAACCCCGGGUCUGCAUUCGAUACGGGCAGGCUAGAGUUCGGUAGGGGAGAUCGGAAUUCCUGGUGUAGCGGUGAAAUGCGCAGAUAUCAGGAGGAACACCGGUGGCGAAGGCGGAUCUCUGGGCCGAUACUGACGCUGAGGAGCGAAAGCGUGGGGAGCGAACAGG